rnacentral:rRNA from 1 species
UACAGAGGUCUCAAGCGUUGUUCGGAUUCAUUGGGCGUAAAGGGUGUGUAGGUGGCGCGUUAAGUCGGGUGUGAAAUUUCGGAGCUUAACUCCGAAACUGCAUUCGAUACUGGCGUGCUUGAGGACUGGAGAGGAGACUGGAAUUUACGGUGUAGCAGUGAAAUGCGUAGAUAUCGUAAGGAAGACCAGUGGCGAAGGCGGGUCUCUGGACAGUUUCCUGACACUGAGACACGAAGGCCAGGGGAGCAAACGGG